ensembl:lncRNA
AUGAAAACAAGAGAAGAAAACUUUAUUCUCGCUGAAAAAAUUUUAAAAGAUAUAUAUUCACUGUCCUUAAUUCAAAAUAUUGAUAUAGAUAUUAUCCAAGAAGGAUUACUAAAACAUGUUAUGGAUAAUGAAGAAUCACACAGUGUUGUAUUCGAAGAAGAGAGUCAAAGUAGCGAGAAUGAAUUAGCAAUUUUAAAUGCAUGUUUAAAAUUAGAUAAGGAAAAACAUACAACAAAUAAUCGUGAACUAAGAUGUGUAAAUAUUAACAUAAAAAUAGAUUUACAUGAAAAAAAGAUUAGUUACUGUUUAGAUAGAUAUAAAAUUCACAAAUGUUAUAGUGAUAAAAUAACAAUUCUUUUGAAUAAUUUAGGUAAAGAAUGUUUAAAUCUUAAAGAAUGUGUAUUAUAUUUAUAUAAUUCAAUUAAUGAUUGUAAUUUAAUGAAAUGUGUUUGUUGGAUUGAUGGUAAAACUGAAGAUGAAUAUAAUAAAAAAGAACAAAAACAUUAUAUUGAAAAAAAAAAUAUAUCUCUUAAUUUGAAAACUGAUAAUUGUAAAAAAACGAAUAAUAAUAAUUUGGCUGUUACAAAAAAUGAUCAAUUAAACAACAAUAUAGAUGUUUAUAAAGAAAACAAUUUUUUAGUAUCCAAUAAUGUUAAGAUUGGUUUAGAUGAAUUAAAAAAAGAAACAAAUAAAUCUUGUCUUAAUAAACAUGUUGUUUUUUCGAACGACGUCGUUAGUUGUGAGUCAAGCAGCGUUGCUGUUAGUUCAGGUGAUAUACACCGUCCUGGUAUAUACCAGAACGAUAAGCACCAAACGGAUAUAAAAAAACACAACGAUAUAUGCAAUGCGCACAAUGAAGUGAUAAAAAAGGAGGAUAAUUAUUUUGGUAAAGGUGAAAAAGCAGAAAUAAUGGUAGAAACCGAAACAGAAGAUACAAUAUCAUUAUGUAACGAUUUUUCAAAAAAAACUGAAGAGACUAACGAAAGAAAUUUUAUUAAGAUUGAAAAUGAAAAUCAAAAAUUGUUAAAUAAUUUUUUAAAUGAAACUAAUACUUAUAAAAAAAAUAAAAUAUCUUGUUCGUUAAAAGAUACAGAACAAAUUAGUUCUUUUCUUAAAAAUGAUUUUUUUAUAAAAAAUCAUGAGUUAAAGAAUUUAUCUUUGUAUGAAAAAAUUGGUGGUUUAAAAAUUGGUGGAUUGUGUAAAAAAAUUGGUGGUUUAUAUGAAAAAAUUGAUGGUUUGUAUGAAAAAAUUGAUGGAUUUGAAAAAAUUGAUGGAUUUGAAAAAAUUGGUGGAUUUGAAAAAAUUGGUGGAUAUGAAAAAAU